ensembl:snoRNA LOC120102028 small nucleolar RNA SNORA48
ACUCCCUGACAGUGGACAAAGAGAUACCUUGUUGGAGGUCUUAUUCUUAUAUCAUUUGGGGCAAAGAUCAGACGGCAGUCCUUUGUUCAUCCUAGCCUGAUGCCUGACUUGGUGGCCAAAGCUGUUUUAUAUCCAGGAUGCAUAU